UUCUGGUUGAUCCUGCCGGAGGCUACCGCUAUUGGAGUUCGAUUAAGCCAUGCGAGUCGAGAGUCUUAGGGACUCGGCGCACCGCUCAGUAACACGUGGGUAACCUGCCCUAUGCUGGGGGAUAACCUCGGGAAACUGAGAAUAAUACCCCAUAGUUCACCACGCCUGGAACGGUGGGUGGAUCAAAGCUCCGGCGGCAUAGGAUGGGCCUGCGACGUAUCAGGUUGUAGGGGGUGUAACGUACCCUCUAGCCAUCAACGCGUACGGGUGUUGGGAGACAUAGCCCGGAGAUGGAUUCUGAGACACGAAUCCAGACCCUACGGGGUGCAGCAGGCGCGAAAACUUGGCAAUGCGAGCAAUCGUGACCAGGGAACUCCAAGUGGCUGGGGUAAUACCCAGUUUUUUCUUGACUCUUCAAAGGUCUUGGAAUAAGGGGUGGGUAAGGACGGUGCCAGCCGCCGCGGUAAUACCGGCGCCUCAAGUGGUAGUCGCUUUUAUUGGGCCUAAAACGUCCGUAGCCGGUCUGGUGCAUUCGUGGGUAAAUCAACCCGCUCAACGGGUUGAAUUCUGCGAGCACGGCCAGACUUGGGACCGGGAGAGGUGUGGAGUACUCUCAGGGUAGGGAUAAAAUCCUGUCAUCCUGAGAGGACC
rnacentral:rRNA from 1 species